GACGAACGCUGGCGGCGUGCCUAAUACAUGCAAGUCGAGCGAUGAUUAAAGAUAGCUUGCUAUUUUUAUGAAGAGCGGCGAACGGGUGAGUAACGCGUGGGAAAUCUGCCGAGUAGCGGGGGACAACGUUUGGAAACGAACGCUAAUACCGCAUAACAAUGAGAAUCGCAUGAUUCUUAUUUGAAAGGAGCAAUUGCUUCACUACUUGAUGAUCCCGCGUUGUAUUAGCUAGUUGGUAGUGUAAAGGACUACCAAGGCGAUGAUACAUAGCCGAGCGGGGAGGGUGCUCGGCCACACUGGGACUGAGACAUGGCCCAGACUCCUACGGGAGGCAGCAGUAGGGAAUCUUCGGCAAGGGGGGCAACCCUGACCGAGCAACGCCGCGUGAGUGAAGAAGGUUUUCGGAUCGUAAAACUCUGUUGUUAGAGAAGAACGUUAAGUAGAGUGGAAAAUUACUUAAGUGACGGUAUCUAACCAGAAAGGGACAGCUAACUACGUGCCAGCAGCCGCGGUAA
rnacentral:rRNA from 1 species